GGGCCUAUAGCUCAGUUGGUUAGAGCACCUGACUCAUAAUCAGGGGGUCCCUGGUUCAAGCCCAGGUGGGCCCACAA
rnacentral:tRNA from 2 species